AUUGCUCAAACUUAUUAGCCGAUGGUAACAUGAUGUAACGAUAUGGCAAUAUCUUGCUCAGAAUGUCAAGCAUUAAUAAAUAAAUAAGCAAAGAAAACCUGAUCCCUUCUACUUAACAGUGUGGGAAUAACCACGCUCUUCACUUUUAGAGUUCUUCUUUUUAUGUUGUUAUAUGGUAAAUUGAUAUAUGAUUCCACUUGUAUGCUCAUCUUAAUCAUUUGAAAUGAUAUAAAGGAUCUUGUUUUCUUUCUCUAAAAUCCAUGAUCAUUUUAAGGUCUUUUAAUUGAGCUUAUCUGCUCAAUUUCAAAUCAUUCAGCUUUUAGCUAGUAGUUAAAUCUAAUAAGAUCAGAUAUUUAACUCUAAUAAUUUAUUUUCCUUUAAAGAUUUUAUGAAACUUUCAAAUAGUAGGUGAUGCAAUGUAUACAUUAUACAAACAAAAAUUGAAAAAUUUAGAGUUUAACCACUUUUAUAUGCAAGUUUUCGUUCUUAUGAUAAGUGCAUAAACAUGACUAUUACGUAAUCUACGACCUAUUAAAUUUCCGUAGAUAAAAAAAUCUAACAGUUUAUUAGACGACUUUAAAAUAAGAAUGGAAACUUAAAAAAAGAAUAUUUUUGUAACUUCUUUUCAAAUUUUUUUAUUUAUAUGAUUUUUUUUUAAAUUCUUGUCUGAAAAAGAUAAUAAAGAUAUACCUAAAAUACAUCGAAAGGAUAUUAUUUUUAAUUUGUAUAAUUGUAAAAUUAGUUUUAUUUUUUUAUUAUCAUUUAUUAUAUUUUAAUCAGAACUCCAACUCCUAAUUUUACGCGAUGAAAUAACCAAUGAGCCCAAGCUGAUUAAUUAGUAUUUUCAGUUUUUAUAUAUAUACACACACAUAUAAGUUCCCUUGCAUUGAUCACAAUCCAAACACAAUGGAGAAAACAAUGAAACAUCUAAUAUCAACUUCCUUCUUCAUUAUCAUUCUCAGUUUUCUGAAUAAUUCUGUAUCAUAUGAACUAUCAUUAGAAUUUGUUUCUGCUCCUGCUACCAAGCACUUUGUGCUACUACAUGGUGCAGGCAGUGGUGCCUGGUGUUGGUACAAGCUUAUACCAAUGCUAAGAUCAUAUGGCUACAAUGUUACAGCCGUCGACUUAGCGGCUUCUGAAAUUAACCCACUACAAAUUAGAGAUAUUCAAAUAAUAUCUGGUUAUUUUCAGCCCUUGGUAGAACUAAUUGCAUCCCUACCAGCAAAUAAAAGAGUUAUUUUUAUUGGUCAUAGGUUUAUAUAUAUAUAUAUAUAUAUAUAUAUAGAACUUUUAUUUGUAUGCAAAUAAUUUAAUGUUUCUGUAGGAUUGGACACUGGCAACAACAUUGGUAAGAACAUCACCUCUUCCUAGUUGAGAAGAUUUCUUAUUGGGACAACUAAAUGUAACGAGGAAAAAAUAUGGAACGGUUUAAAGAAUUUUUAUAAUUCCAGAAAAAGAUUUAAUAAUACUAAAAAAGUUUCAAAAAAUUGAUGAUUCGAGGAAAUCCGCCCAACUAAGUGGAAAAAAAAUAAAUUAAAAUCUGAUUAUUUAAUUAUAAUAUCUAAACCUGGAGAGUUUCGAGCUAUUUUGUUACGAAUUGCUCAAAAAUAUUGAGCAGCUACUAUUACCUUUUAAAUUAAUAAAUAAAUAACAUGUUAAUUAUCAUAUACACCAAAAUAAAAAGAGUAAAAAAAACCACAACUCUCCAAGUACAAGCAAAAGUGUUUCAAUUAUGAUAUUGUAUCUUAUUAAAUUAUUUUCUGAAAAGAUCAUUGAUCAUAUAUUAAUUCCUUUAGUCGCUUGGAUUAAUUAAAAGAUAUAUUAGCUUAAUUUAAGAGCAUAGAAGCCCCAAACGUUGAAUUUAUGUUCCCAUAUUAAUGAUAUGAUAAUCAAAUUGAAAAUGUAAAGAUGGGAUGCACUUUUAAAAUUAUCAUUUCAAGCGAAAGGUAGAUAUCCUAUGCACCAUUGAAUUAAUGCAUCAAUUACCUUAUAAUAGAAUAUAUCAAAUUUUAAUUUUUUCAGUCAGCAACUGACCGAGUUUGACUGUUUUAUUUUUUAUUUUUGGUCAAUGAGCAUUGAUACGUGCUCGCCUAAAUAGAUCACUUCACGCGAGCAAGAGCUCGCCCGAUUAUAUUCCAACCGAUCCUUGAUAAAGAUUGGUUAAUUAAGAGAUAGAUAUCCACUCCAAUGCAACCUAUUUCCUUAUGUACUCGAUGUAGGACUCUUAUCUGUAUUGUAGUUAUUCAUUAAGCUAUGGACUCCUUUUGUGGUAAGCUUUAUCUCCUACAAUGAAGGAGAUGUGUUGUAAGUGAACUAUUCUACUAUAAAGUCUAUAAAUAUAAGGUAAUACAUAAUAAGAAAAGUGGGAAAUGCAAUUAUAACCCUCUAAACCCUUUUAUUUCUCUGUCUUUACCAAAUACUAACUUGUCCAUUAGAGUGCUUUUUCAGGUACCAUGUAAUCUAUAAGAAAAUCUUUAUAAAAAGACCACCAUGAAAAGAGAUCUCCAGACGAUCUUUAAGAAAAUCCUCAAAUAAGAUCUUCAAAGGAUAUCCUCUAAAGAAAUCUUCAAGAAACUCCAAAGAAGACCUUCAUCAAAGGAAAUCCUCUAAAGAACCCUUGAAGAAGAUCUUGAAAAGAUUUUCAUCAAGAGUAGAUAUCCAUGGAAAGGGAUCUAACUAAUGUCCAUUAACUAAUGUCCCUCUGGAAUCAACCCACUUCAAAUUAGUGAUAUCAGCACAAUUUCUGAUCAUUAUCAGCCGUUGCCUUAUGUACUCGAUGUAGGACUCUUAUCUGUAUUGUAGUUAUUCAUUAAGCUAUGGACUCCUUUUGUGGUAAGCUUUAUCUCCUACAAUGAAGGAGAUGUGUUGUAAGUGAACUAUUCUACUAUAAAGUCUAUAAAUAUAAGGUAAUACAUAAUAAGAAAAGUGGGAAAUGCAAUUAUAACCCUCUAAACCCUUUUAUUUCUCUGUCUUUACCAAAUACUAACUUGUCCAUUAGAGUGCUUUUUCAGGUACCAUGUAAUCUAUAAGAAAAUCUUUAUAAAAAGACCACCAUGAAAAGAGAUCUCCAGACGAUCUUUAAGAAAAUCCUCAAAUAAGAUCUUCAAAGGAUAUCCUCUAAAGAAAUCUUCAAGAAACUCCAAAGAAGACCUUCAUCAAAGGAAAUCCUCUAAAGAACCCUUGAAGAAGAUCUUGAAAAGAUUUUCAUCAAGAGUAGAUAUCCAUGGAAAGGGAUCUAACUAAUGUCCAUUAACUAAUGUCCCUCUGGAAUCAACCCACUUCAAAUUAGUGAUAUCAGCACAAUUUCUGAUCAUUAUCAGCCGUUGGUGAAUUUAUUAUAAUCUUUGCCAGCAAAUGAAAGCAUAAUCCUCGUCGGUCAUAGUAUUGGUGGGUUUGCAAUUUCUUAUGCAAUGGAGAGAUUUCCAAGUAAAAUUGCUUGUGCAGUUUUUAUUGCUGCCCUUAUGCCUGGUCCUUCCCUCAACGCCUCCACGGUUUAUCAAGAGGUAUAAUAUAUGACCUAUUUUUCAUAUGUUAAUAUUAUGCAAGUGAAAGCUGUGUGUAUUAGUAGGUCCAUAUGUUGAGAAGUGAAAGCUGUGUGUAUUAGUAGGUCCAUAUGUUGAGCUAACGUUCUUCUUUUGGUACUUUGGAAUUUUUUAAAGAGAAAAGAUUAUAUAAAUUUGAAUUAUAAGCUUCAACACCUAUGAGAUAUGCACCCAAUAAUUAGAAAACCUGAUGCCUUCUACUUAACAGUGUGGGAAUAACCACACCCUUCCUUUUUCGAGUUCUUCUUUUUAUGUUGUUAUAUGGUAAAUGAUAAUGUUUCCACUUGUAUGCUUAUCUUAAUCAUUUGAAAUGAUAAAAAG
rnacentral:lncRNA from 1 species